rnacentral:piRNA from 7 species
AUUUGGUGUAUGUGCUUGGCUGAG